rnacentral:rRNA from 1 species
AUUGAACGCUGGCGGCAGGCCUAACACAUGCAAGUCGAGCGGAUGAAGGGAGCUUGCUCCUGGAUUCAGCGGCGGACGGGUGAGUAAUGCCUAGGAAUCUGCCUGGUAGUGGGGGAUAACGUCCGGAAACGGGCGCUAAUACCGCAUACGUCCUGAGGGAGAAAGUGGGGGAUCUUCGGACCUCACGCUAUCAGAUGAGCCUAGGUCGGAUUAGCUAGUUGGUGGGGUAAGGGCCUACCAAGGCGACGAUCCGUAACUGGUCUGAGAGGAUGAUCAGUCACAUUGGAACUGAGACACGGUCCAGACUCCUACGGGAGGCAGCAGUGGGCAAUAUUGGACAAUGGGCGAAAGCCUGAUCCAGCCAUGCCGAGUGUGUGACGAAGGUCUUCGGAUUGUAAAGCACUUUAAGUUGGGAGGAAGGGCAGUAAGUUAAUACCUUGCUGGUUUGACGUUACCAACAGAAUAAGCACCGGCUAACUUCGUG